GCAGUAACAAAAGCCGACACUACGUUUAUGUUUUCAGUUUUAUUUUGGUUUGUUGGUGGAUUGUGGUCGUACCUUGUUGAUAAUGUCUUGGCAGGAAAUCCUGCAAAACAGUGAUGGUGUCACUGACACCGCUCUUUUUUUAGCCCGUCAGAUACAAGCGUUUUGAUGUUUCAUUUUGUUUCUCAGCUGCAUCUUUUUUUUGUGAGGACAGGCACCCUCUGUCAUCCUUCUCGAAUGCAUUAACCCAGCUCUGGUUCAGGACUCGGGUCACAGAAUCACUUUAACAGUCAAAUGCAUAAGGAAUUCAAAGUGAUGUCAAGCUUUUGCUAAAAGGGACCCAGACACAAGACACAGAGAGGCAGGGAGGUUAGAAGCAAAACAGGCUUUAAUGGUAAGAUGAAGGGCGGUAAACAAAUAAUGCCAGGAAGUGUAAAGUAAAACAUGACAAUCAAGGGUGAGAUCAACAAAAUAAAACAGGAUGUGACCAAGAAAGUUAUCCAGACAGGUGAUGUACAAACUAAAGUGCUGCUCUUUAGCAUUUUGCUGAACAGGAAACAAAAUGGACGGCUUUGAACUCGACUUGUACACAGACUCCAUUUAUUGGAGAACCAUCAUCCGAGGCUCUUGUUUGUCUGCCAGGCAGGAUGUUGUUUGAGGAACUGGAAGAGGAUCACUGUAGAACCAAAGAACAGUGACGGAACACACUCUUUUUGAACUCCAGAGAGGGAGAUCGGAUUUACAUCACUAGCAAUAUCUUCAACAAAACAACAGUACGAAGGAACACGGCCGAGUAUGGUCUGCCAAGAUAGGAAGGAGGAAAAACAACAGGGAGGCAGUGGACCAAAGAAACUUGCCGGAUGCACGGGAGUACUGCAAACACUGUCUUUCCCAAGACAAAAUGGCAGUCUGCAUUGAGAUAAUACCUCACCAUUUAAUCAGGAAGUCCACCACCAAGACCAGAACCUCCCUGUGGUUCUGAAUGUUGUACUGCACCAUCAGAUGCAGAUGACAGUAGUUUCAGUAGUAUUCUGCAAGACCUGUAAACAAACUUUACUGUAUUAAACUGGUGGCAUUACCCUGAAAGACUUCA